rnacentral:lncRNA from 1 species
AAAUCAAAUAUAUUUUUACAAAAAUGUCUCGUUUUCACCCUUCAUUUAACAUACUUUUGACACAUGCUACAUGGUCUCGUUCGAUUGGUUGUUUGGGUGAAGAAACUCAACUCUUUUUUAAAUGAUCCGGAGGAUAAUUUUGGAAAACAAAAUGUAUGAAAUUUAAUUUUCACAGUUUCAUUUUUAUCCUUCGUUCAAUUUGGCUUGGGUUUGUCGCCUCCUCUCUCUAUUGGCCUCCUUCUCUCUCCAUUCGCCUCCUCCUCUCUCCAUUCGCUUCAUCUCUCACAUUGCUCCCUAACGCGUCGUCUCAUCCAAAGGAAACCAAAAGAGGUCUUUCGCAAUCAUUGUGUAUCGGUAAGCUCUCUUUCUCGUUUUGGGUUUGUUUGGCGUUGUGGCUCUGUUUCGUUUUGGGUCUGGGUGUCUUUCGCGUUUUCACUUAAGUUCUUUCCUCGUUUUGGAUUUGUUUAGUGUUGUGGCUUUGUUUCGUUUUGGGUUUGGGUGUCUUUCGCGUUGUCACUCUCUUUCUCAUUGUCUCGCUUCUCGAACACUAGCCUAUUUUUGUUGUCUUUAUUUUUUUGUGUUUUGUGAACCCUAAUCCACCGCCAUUGAUUUAUUUGUAUGAAAUAUGUGCAGUUGCAAUGGCGUCAACAUACAGUGGUCCAUGACAAUGAACAAAGAAUAAGAUAUGAGUUUGUGUCCUCCUUUGGUUAUGUGCAGAAUGAAGAGGGAGUGUGAGUUCCGAAAGGGAACACAACCAAUGAACAACGUCAACGUACAAUGGUCCAUGACAUUGAACAACCAAUGUUUCCUGUAUUAUAUUUGACAAAAUCUUAAGUAGUGAAUAAAGUCGUACUUAAUGGAUAGUAAAACACUAGAUAAUCACAUACAACGUUCAAAACACACUGUUAUUCAC